rnacentral:rRNA from 1 species
GGGGAGUAAAUUAAUACUUUGCUGUUUUGACGUUCCCAACAGAAUAAGCACCGGCUAACUCUGUGCCAGCAGCCGCGGUAAUACAGAGGGUGCAAGCGUUAAUCGGAAUUACUGGGCGUAAAGCGCGCGUAGGUGGUUCGUAAAGUUGUAUGUGAAAUCCCCGGGCUCAACCUGGGAACUGCAUUAAAAACUGACUAGCUAGAGUAUGGUAGAGGGUGGUGGGAUUUCCUGUGUAGCGGUGAAAUGCGAAGAUAUAGAAAGGAACACCAGUGGCGAAGGCGACCACCUGGACUGAUACUGACACUGAGGUGCGAAAGCGUGGGGAGCAAACAAGAUUAUAUACCCUGGUAGUCCACGCCGUAAACGAUGUCAACUAGCCGUUGGGAGCCUUGAGCUCUUAGUGGCGCAGCUAACGCAUUAAGUUGACCGCCUGGGGAGUACGGCCGCAAAGUUAAAACUCAA